AUUGCGAUUACUUGUGUCCAGUCUCUUUGGCCGAGUUAUGUAUAGCCGAACGAGAACUCGAUUUUGCAUGUACGUACGAAUGAUCAGUUAUGACGUAUUUUGACGUCACAGAAAUUUUAGAAAAUAACAUACUCCAGAUCGCGAUUUGACUUUCCGAAUACCCUGGUUGAGACUCACGAACACCACCAUGAACGAUUACAAUUUGUAAACGUAACAUGUGCCUCGUUGCCUGUUGUAAAUUUAUGUCUGGCUGUUUAUCGAAAUAUUUUGCUUGCGUCUGGCUGUUUUAGGUAAGAUGAAAGUUUAAUCACAAAUAACAAUUAAUGUGUUUUGGUCGAAUUAUUUUACCCAUUGAAACGAACAAAUUAACUGUAUUUUUAUCAAAUUUUAAUUUAGCUGCCAUACAAAUAUACAACUCUUCAUAUAAACAAGUGGAGUAAAAAAUCUGUUUUGAGCUUGAUAGAACAUCGUACUUCAAGGUAUAAAUAAUCACAGUGAUAGUUUAUUAUAAUAUUGUUAUUAUGAGAAUAUCAAUUGAGCAGUAUCGUACAGUGUCGCAUUGGAACACAUAAUUCUAUACGAAUGAAAAAGUAUCUGACUUGUUACCACUUGUACUGUUGUACAAAAUGUACAAAGACAUUCCUAUAGCAACCCGGUGUGGAUUGUUGUCUGCACAUAUUUACCAACUUAUCUGCAGUUUAUGUAAUAUCAUGUCAACUGACCUUUUAGAUGGUCUGUACAAAUAUAUCUCUAAGAUGUAUGUCCAUUGCUACUUGUUAGCAUAAUAUAUUCACCUGGCUGUCACUACAGUUCAGGGUAUACUAUAUUUUUUAUAAUGCUCACAAUUUCUUGUAUUAUAUAGUUUUGCAGUUCUGACUGAGUGCAAUCUUAAUCAUUA